rnacentral:rRNA from 1 species
UACGUAGGGUGCAAGCGUUGUCCGGAAUUAUUGGGCGUAAAGAGCUUGUAGGCGGUUUGUCGCGUCUGCUGUGAAAAUCCGGGGCUCAACCCCGGACUUGCAGUGGGUACGGGCAGACUAGAGUGUGGUAGGGGAGACUGGAAUUCCUGGUGUAGCGGUGAAAUGCGCAGAUAUCAGGAGGAACACCGAUGGCGAAGGCAGGUCUCUGGGCCUUACCUGACGCUGAGGCGCGAAAGCUAGGGGAGCGAACAGG